rnacentral:lncRNA from 1 species
UCAACCAUGAGCAUAGUUGAUGAGUGGAGUAUGAUAGAAGUAAAGGGUGAGUGUUAGGCUAGCCACUAAAGAGAGGGUGUUGUACACUCUUGUGUAAUAUUGUUGUGUUGUAAUAAAGUUUUGUUUCUUACAAGUGUUAGUCUCCCGAUUGGACUAUAGAGUUUCUAAGUAGUUAGUGCAUAAGUUGUGAUCCAUCAAAAGUUGGCUUUGUCACCCAGGAUCACAAGGGUCUGGACUUCAUCAUAGGUUGGCUCUGCCACCCGGAAGUGAGAAGACGGCUCUGCCGUCGAAAGGACCCGUCGCACUAAGUAACUAGAAAUUAAAAGAGCUGACCGACUCCAAAGUGAGUUGGUGUCUUAGGUGUAGCUCCUCAUAUUAGUGGGUAUUACGACCACCCCAAUUUCCAACAGUUUACAUCUUUAAUCUUUGGAUUUGCUAUCUCCCUAACACAAAUGCUUGUGUUUCUGCCUGUAAUGUAUCACAAAGGCAGCCCUUGUAGGUGGAAAAAGAGGAGAACGAGCAGAAUGGGGAGAAUGUCACAAAAAAAAAGCAGAAUGGGGAGAACAAGGAGCGGGAGCAGGAGCAAGUCCUCAAGAAGUAUGGGGUCACCAAUCAACCCUCGCAGAUAUGAGGAACCUCCAACUGCCUGAACCUCUUGGCAAUUUUGUUUUUUCUAUGUUGUGGUGGCUCUGUUCUGUGAGCUGCUUGGCUUUUUUGAGAUCCGUA